rnacentral:rRNA from 1 species
GGGGGGGGGUGGGGGGGUGCUUGGCGGCUGCGGGGGGGGGGGAGGGGGCCGGCUGGUGGGGGGUGCUCGAGUGGCGGGCGGGUGAGGCCCCCUGGGGUACCCUGCCCGUGGGUUAGGGAUCACCUCCGGCAGCUGGGGCUCAUGCCGGCUAGGCGCUCCUGCUUCCUUGUGUGGGUUGCACAGUUUCGGCGGUUCGGGAUGGGCUCCAGGUCUAUCAGCUUUUUGUUGGGUUAGUGGCUUACCAAGGCUUUGACGGGUAGCCGGCCUGAGAGGGUGACCGGCCACAUGGGGACUGAGAUACGGCCCAGACUCCUACGGGAGGCAGCAGUGGGGAAUAUUGCACAAUGGGCGGAAGCCUGAUGCAGCAACGCCGCGUGCGGGAUGACGGCCGUCGGGUUGGAAACCGCUUUCGCCUGUGACGAAGCGUGAGUGACGGUAAUGGGUAAAGAAGCACCGGCUAACUACGUG